AUUGAACGCUGGCGGAAUGCUUUACACAUGCAAGUCGAGCGGCAGCGCGGGGGCAACCUUGGCGGCGAGCGGCGAACGGGUGAGUAACAUAUCGGAACGUACCCCGUCGUGGGGGAUAACACAGCGAAAGCUGUGCUAAUACCGCAUACGACCUGAGGGUGAAAGCGGGGGACCGUAAGUCCUCGCGCGAUGGGAGCGGCCGAUAUCGGAUUAGCUUGUUGGUGGGGUAAAGGCUCACCAAGGCCACGAUCCGUAGCUGGUCUGAGAGGACGACCAGCCACACUGGAGCUGAGACACGGUCCAGACUCCUACUGGAGGCAGCAGUGGGUAAUUUUAGACAAUGGGGGCAACCCUGAUCCAGCCAUUCCGCGUGAGUGAAGAAGGCCUUCGGGUUGUAAAGCUCUUACGGCAGGAACGAAACGGUGGCCACUAAUACUGGCUACUAAUGACGGUACCUGAAGAAGAAGCACCGGCUAACUACGUGCCAGCAGCCGCAGUAACAC
rnacentral:rRNA from 1 species